GGUAAUUUAAUCUUAUAAUCAAAACAAAUGGAUCAAAAAAAUAUACAUAAAUAUACAAAAGCAAAGAGGAGUUACUUUAAUUUCCUCCCAUCACCCCAACAAAACAAUAAUUCCCACUCAAUAAAACCAAAACAAACAAAAAAUAAAUAAGAAAACUGUCAAACUCUAUAGGGUCUUCUCGUCCCAUAAAAACAUUUAAGAAUUUUAACUCAAAAACCAAAUUCAAUAAAUCAAUGCCUCUAAGACAGAUUAUGUCUCGUCAAGCCAUUCAUACCAGAUCACAAUUAAAGAACUAAUGAUUAUGCUACCUUUGCACGGUCAAAAUACCGCGGCCCUUCAACUUUAACGUCAGUGGGCAGGCCAUACUUCAAAAACUAACAAGAAAAGAUGUUUUUGUUAAACAGGCGGACAUAAAAACUUUGCCGAAUUCCUCAAAAGCAAUUAACACCUAUCCAACAAAACAACCAAUAAAAUUUACUAAUUACACAAUAAUUACUAUACAAACCAAAAGUAAAGAAAACAUUUCAAUAAACAACUUAAAUAACAAAAAAAUCGAAAAAACAACAAAUAAAAUUUUAACAUAAUCAAAUAGAAAAUCACCAUAAAAUCCACAAAACUAAAUUAAACAAUAACCAAUUAUAAAAGUAAAAAAAGGAGCUAAUCCCCCCUAAUCUUAACAUCAAAUAAAAAUAAAUAAACCAACAACAGAAAUUAAAUAAGAUGUAUGAAUUAAA
rnacentral:rRNA from 1 species